UGGGGUUAGUGGCGAACGGGUGAGUAACACGUGGGUGAUCUGCCCUGCACUUUGGGAUAAGCCUGGGAAACUGGGUCUAAUACCGGAUAGGACUACGCACUGCAUGGUGUGUGGUGGAAAGCUUUUGCGGUGUGGGAUGGGCCCGCGGCCUAUCAGCUUGUUGGUGGGGUGAUGGCCUACCAAGGCGACGACGGGUAGCCGGCCUGAGAGGGUGACCGGCCACACUGGGACUGAGAUACGGCCCAGACUCCUACGGGAGGCAGCAGUGGGGAAUAUUGCACAAUGGGCGCAAGCCUGAUGCAGCGACGCCGCGUGAGGGAUGACGGCCUUCGGGUUGUAAACCUCUUUCGCCAGGGACGAAGCGCAAGUGACGGUACCUGGAGAAGAAGGACCGGCCAACUACGUGCCAGCAGCCGCGGUAAUACGUAGGGUCCGAGCGUUGUCCGGAAUUACUGGGCGUAAAGAGCUCGUAGGUGGUUUGUCGCGUUGUUCGUGAAAACUCACAGCUUAACUGUGGGCGUGCGGGCGAUACGGGCAGACUGGAGUACUGCAGGGGAGACUGGAAUUCCUGGUGUAGCGGUGGAAUGCGCAGAUAUCAGGAGGAACACCGGUGGCGAAGGCGGGUCUCUGGGCAGUAACUGACGCUGAGGAGCGAAAGCGUGGGGAGCGAACAGGAUUAGAUACCCUGGUAGUCCACGCCGUAAACGGUGGGUACUAGGUGUGGGUUUCCUUCCUUGGGAUCCGUGCCGUAGCUAACGCAUUAAGUACCCCGCCUGGG
rnacentral:rRNA from 1 species